UAAAAUCUAAUAAUGCAAAGUAUGCGCUGCUAAAGUACGCUGGAAAGUGCAAAAGAAAGUAGUUCAGCACUAAGUUACUUUGUCUUUAAUGGCAAACGCGAGAUGCAGUGCAGGGAAUGUUUAAUUCUAGUAUGAGAAAUUAGCGAUUUAAGUCCUUCUUAAAUGAGACCAUUUACCCAAAGAGGGUGCUAGGCCCGUAUAGCGUUAAUGAUUACUAGAGACAAAGAGUCGUGUUGCUUGAUAGUGCAGCACUAAGUGGGUGGUAAACUCCAUCUAAAACUAAAUAUAACCAUGAGACCGAUAGUAAACAAGUACCGUGAGGGAAAGUUGAAGAGAACUCUGAACAGAGAGUUAAAUAGUACGUGAAACUGCUUAGAGAUUAAGCCCGAUGAACCCGAAUAUCCAUUAUGGAAUUCAUCAUUAUGAAUUAUGAUAAUUAAUAAAUAUUAUAUUAAUGGUGGGCGUUCUAUACAGUUAUAUAUAAUAAUAUUUAUAUUAUUUAUACCUCUAACUAGAACGUACUUUCACUGUUUGCUGUAACCCGAAAGAUGGUGAACUAUACUUGAAGCCAGGGGAAAUCCUGAUGGGAGACCGAAACAAAGCGAUUAUCAGAAUUGAGUAUAGGGGCGAAAGACCAAUCGAACCAUCUAAUAGCUGGUUCCCUCCGAAAUUUCCCUCAGGAUAGCUGGUACAUUCAAAAUUUAUGUAAACUAAUCUUAUCUGGUAAAGCGAAUGAUUAGAGGCCUUAGGGUCGAAACGAUCUUAACCUAUUGUAAACUUUAAAUGGGUAAGAACAUGACCUUUCUUGGUAUGAAGGCUGUGCUUGUGUGUGCCCAGUGGGCCACUUUUGGUAAGCAGAAAUGGCGCUGUGGGUCGUCCCAAACGUAAUGUUACGGUGCGCAAAUUAACAGUUCAUGCAGAUACCAUGAAAGGCGUUGGUUGCUUAAAACAGCAGGACGGUGGAAAUGGAAGUCGCAAUCCGUUAAGCAGUGUGUAACAACUUACCUGCCGAAGCAACUAGCCUUUAACGGCGCUUACACCGAUACAUUACCGCUAAAAUAAAUGGUUGAAAUUCAAUUUAUUUAAGUUUGUAAAUUUUAAAAUUUUAGUGAGUAGAAAGGUCCCAUGGUGAGUGAAAAGGUGUUUGACGUAAGUCUGCAUGGAGCCGCCAUUGGUACAGAUCUUAGUGCGAACAGUGGUUGAUCACGAGUUAGUCGGUCCUAAGUUCAAUGUGAAAGCUGAAAAUUUUCAAGCUAUAUAUCAAAAAUGUAUAUUUAUAUAUAUGAAUAAUGUAUAAAACACUUGAAAAUAAUUGAACGAAUAGGAAUAUGGUGCCAAUUCCGUAACCUGUUGAGUAUCCGUUUAUUUAUUGAAGGUGGGCCUUGUGCUCAUCCUGGAAACAGAAACGACCAUAAAGAAGCCGUCGAAAGAUAUCGGAGGAGAUUUAUUUUGCUAUGGUAGAUGGGCUAGAAGAGCAUGACAUUUACUGUUGUGUCGAUAUUUUCUCCUCGGACCUUGAAAAUUUAUAGUGAGGUCACGCAAACUUCUCAACAGACCGUACCAAUAUAAGCAGCUGGUCUCCAAGGUGAAGAGUCCCUAGUCGAUAGAAUAAUGUAGGUAAGGGAAGUCGGCAAAUUAGAUCCCUAACUUCGGGAUAAGGAUUGGCUCUGAAGAUUGAGAUAAUCGGGCUUGCAAUAUAUGGUUUAUGUACUCGUUCUGGGUAAAUAGAGAUUUUUGGAUCUUGUUCCUCGGAUAGCAGUUACGCAACCAAUUGUGGAACUUUUUUGCUAAAAUUUUUAAGGGAUUAGCGCAAGAUAUAUUCUUGUUAAAUUAUAACGAUUAUCAAUAAACAAUCAAUUCAGAACUGGCACGGACUUGGAGAAUCCGACUGUCUAAUUAAAACAAAGCAUUGUGAUGGCCCUAAUGGGUGUAACAAAAUGUGAUUUUUGCCCAGUGUUCUGAAUGUCAAAGUGAAGAAAUUCAAGUAAGCGCGGGUAAACGGCGGGAGUAACUAUGGCUCUCUUAACCCUCGAGCGGAACGGACGUGUUAGCGGAUAGUUACGAAAAAAAGAAAAAAAGUACAAUUCAUUAAUUUUCUAUGUAAAAUUAUACCCAAGAUGCUAUUUGGAUAAU
rnacentral:ncRNA from 1 species